UACGGGGGGGGCAAGCGUUGUUCGGAAUUACUGGGCGUAAAGGGUUCGUAGGUGGCCUACUAAGUCAGACGUGAAAUCCCUCAGCUUAACUGGGGAACUGCGUCUGAUACUGGGGGGCUUGAGGACAGGAGAGGAACGCGGAAUUCCAGGUGUAGCGGUGAAAUGCGUAGAUAUCUGGAGGAACACCGAUGGCGAAGGCAGCCUUCUGGGCCAACACUGACGCUCAUGCACGAAAGCGUGGGGAGCAAACAGG
rnacentral:rRNA from 1 species